rnacentral:rRNA from 1 species
AUUGAACGCUGGCGGCAUGCUUUACACAUGCAAGUCGAACGGCAGCGCGGGCUUCGGCCUGGCGGCGAGUGGCGAACGGGUGAGUAAUGCAUCGGAACGUGCCCAGUAGUGGGGGAUAGCCCGGCGAAAGCCGGAUUAAUACCGCAUCCGACCUGAGGGUGAAAGCCGGGGACCGAAAGACCUCGCGCUAUUUGAGCGGCCGAUGUCGGAUUAGCUAGUUGGUGGGGUAAAGGCUUACCAAGCCGAGGAUCCGUAUCUGGUCUGAUAGGACGACCAGCCACACUGGGACUGAGACACGGCCCAGACUCCUACGGGAGGCAGCAGUGGGGAAUUUUGGACAAUGGGGGCAACCCUGAUCCAGCCAUGCCGCGUGCGGGAAGAAGGCCUUCGGGUUGUAAACCGCUUUUGUGCGGGAAGAAAUCCUCUGGGCUAAUACCCCGGGGGGAUGACGGUACCGGAAGAAUAAGCACCGGCUAACUACGUG